rnacentral:rRNA from 1 species
UGAGGAAUAUUGGUCAAUGGGCGAGAGCCUGAACCAGCCAAGUAGCGUGAAGGAUGACCGCCCUAUGGGUUGUAAACUUCUUUUAUAUGGGAAUAAAGGGUGCCACGUGUGGCAUUUUGUAUGUACCAUAUGAAUAAGGAUCGGCUAACUCCGUGCCAGCAGCCGCGGUAAUACGGAGGAUCCGAGCGUUAUCCGGAUUUAUUAGGUUUAAAGGGAGCGUAGGUGGACAUGUAAGUCAGUUGUGAAAGUUUGCGGCUCAACCGUAAAAUUGCAGUUGAAACUGCGUGUCUUGAGUACAGUAGAGGUGGGCGGAAUUCGUGGUGUAGCGGUGAAAUGCUUAGAUAUCACGAAGAACUCCGAUUGCGAAGGCAGCUCACUGGACUGCAACUGACACUGAUGCUCGAAAGUGUGGGUAUCAAACAGGAUUAGAUACCCUGGUAGUCCACACAGUAAACGAUGAAUACUCGCUGUUUGCGAUAUACAGUAAGCGGCCAAGCGAAAGCAUUAAGUAUUCCACCUGGGGAGUACGCCGGCAACGGUGAAACUCAAAGGAAUUGACGGGGGCCCGCACAAGCGGAGGAACAUGUGGUUUAAUUCGAUGAUACGCGAGGAACCUUACCCGGGCUUAAAUUGCAAAUGAAUAUGCCGGAAACGGCAUAGCCGCAAGGCAUUUGUGAAGGUGCUGCAUGGUUGUCGUCAGCUCGUGCCGUGAGGUGUCGGCUUAAGUGCCAUAACGAGCGCAACCCUUAUCUUCAGUUACUAACAGGUCAUGCUGAGGACUCUGGAGAGACUGCCGUCGUAAGAUGUGAGGAAGGUGGGGAUGACGUCAAAUCAGCACGGCCCUUACGUCCGGGGCUACACACGUGUUACAAUGGGGGGUACAGAAGGCCGCUACCUGGUGACAGGAUGCCAAUCCCUAAAGCCGCUCUCAGUUCGGACUGGAGUCUGCAACCCGACUCCACGAAGCUGGAGUUGCUAGUAAUCGCGGAUCAGCAUGCCGCGGUGAAUACGUUCCC